UACGUAGGGUGCAAGCGUUAAUCGGAAUUACUGGGCGUAAAGCGUGCGCAGGCGGUUUUGUAAGUCUGACGUGAAAUCCCCGGGCUCAACCUGGGAAUUGCGUUGGAGACUGCAAGGCUGGAGUCUGGCAGAGGGGGGGUAGAAUUCCACGUGUAGCAGUGAAAUGCGUAGAGAUGUGGAGGAACACCGAUGGCGAAGGCAGCCCCCUGGGUCAAGACUGACGCUCAUGCACGAAAGGCGU
rnacentral:rRNA from 1 species